ACACUUUUAUACACCAUUUUUUAAACCAUCUAAAUAACAUGCUAAUGUAACGGAGACCGAAACACAAUGUUCAAAGUUCAAUUCCAUGUUGAAUUUAAUGAAAUACAUAUAAAAAUUUGACAUGGGGCUACUUUGAUAUAUCAUAUAGGGCAACUUUGAUAACUAUUUUAUACAUACAUUUAACAUGGCUCGCAAAUAUAGAAAGAAGAUUGGUGGUCGGUCUUAUAAAAAUUACUCAGAUGACAUUUUAGAGGAAGCACUAAAUAAAAUUGCCAAUGGUGAGAUUUCAAUAUUAGCUGCCAGCAAGGCAUAUAAAAUUUCCUAUGGAACAUUGCACAAUAAAUUCAAUGGCAAACAUGUUAAGAAGUGUGGUCAUCCAACGAUUUUAUUUAUAUUUAUUAUAUAUAUAUUAUAUUUUAUUGUUAUUGUUA